rnacentral:rRNA from 1 species
GGGUGCGAUCAUACAACCACUAAUGCACCGGAUCCCAUCAGAACUGCGGAGCUAAACGUGCUUGGGCGAGACUAGUACUAAGAUGGGUGACCUCUUGGGAAGUCCUCGUGUUGCACCCC